AUUGAACGCUGGCGGCAGGCUUAACACAUGCAAGUCGAGCGGAGAUGAGGUGCUUGCACCUUAUCUUAGCGGCGGACGGGUGAGUAAUGCUUAGGAAUCUGCCUAUUAGUGGGGGACAACAUUCCGAAAGGAAUGCUAAUACCGCAUACGUCCUACGGGAGAAAGCAGGGGAUCUUCGGACCUUGCGCUAAUAGAUGAGCCUAAGUCGGAUUAGCUAGUUGGUGGGGUAAAGGCCUACCAAGGCGACGAUCUGUAGCGGGUCUGAGAGGAUGAUCCGGCACACUGAGACUGAGACACGGCCCAGACUCCUACGGGAGGCAGCAGUGGGGAAUAUUGGACAAUGGGGGAAACCCUGAUCUAGCCAUGCCGCGUGUGUGAAGAAGGCCUUAUGGUUGUAAAGCACUUUAAGCGAGGAGGAGGCUACUGAGACUAAUACUCUUGGAUAGUGGACGUUACUCGCAGAAUAAGCACCGGCUAACUCUGUGCCAGCAGCCGCGGUAA
rnacentral:rRNA from 1 species